CAACUAAUGACGAUUAUUAUUGAACACUUUUUUUACAACCAAAUAGAACUCUAGAUGGGAAAGAAACCCAUAAGCAAAUAACCUAUGAAGAAAAAUUUAUUUUCAUUUUCUCUUUUAUUCACAUGUUUGUUUUAAUUAAAUUCAUCACCCAUUUUCAACAAUGUAUGCGUGUAUGUGUGUGUAUUAUUUUUGCUAAGUAGGAAGUGAAUUUGAGAUCAG
rnacentral:misc_RNA from 1 species